rnacentral:misc_RNA from 1 species
UACGCGUACUCCCGACGACUCUAGUCUCCUUUUUCUUUUCAUUUUUUAUUCUCGCCUUCUCACUAUUCCCCUUCACUUGGAGCGAUUUUCUAUCUCCGAUUAAUAUUUUGAUUGCCUUGAAGAUUUGGAUUUCAAUCGUCGUUGCGUAGAGUACAAUCGCCAAACGAAGCGUGCAUUAUUGACCAAGUCCUAAUUCAAAUUUCGUCCGAGGCUAUGACGCCGCGACAGGGGCUUUAUAUUUGGUAUGUAUCCAUUCGGGCGACUGAGCUUUCUAAUGGACAAUUAUGGACCGAUCAAGACCCGAUACCGGAGCCAAUAGCACAACCCACCUUUAGUCUGGAGCGAAAUCUUCUUUGUGAUCCAAUGUUGCGAUGAGUGCGGGGAUCACAUCGAAUGCUGUUAUUUGGGAGGUCCGAUUUCUGGGAGAUCAUGAACAAAGCUGAAGAUCAGAAACAUGAAAUUUUCAAAUAACGAAUCCCAGUAUAAGUCUAUAGAAAUGAAUCAAAAGCAUAAGUAGUGUAUCACUUAUCACGAGAGCCAUAAUGUAUUUACGUUCGAUAAAUCCUCUUUGACUGCAA